GAUGAAGAACGCAGCGAAAUGCGAUACUUGGUGUGAAUUGCAGAAUCCCGUGAAUCAUCGAGUCUUUGAACGCAAGUUGCGCCCGAAGCCUUUUGGCCGAGGGCACGUCUGCCUGGGUGUCACGCAACGUCGCCGCCAGCACACCCUUCCCUUAGGGGAUUGCGAUGUAGCUGGGGGCGGAUUUUGGCCUCCCGUGCGCCUCAGCGCGCGCGGUUGGCCUAAAUUUCAGCUCACGGCGAGGAUCGCCACGACAAGCGGUGGUUUUUUGAACUAAGGACCUCGGGUGUUGUCGUGCGGCCUCGCGGAGAUAAGGAACCCCGUGCGCUUGCGCACACUCUUAACGAGACCCCAGGUCAGUCGGGAACACCCGCUGAAUUUAAGCAUAUCAAUAAGCGGAGGA
rnacentral:misc_RNA from 1 species